AUAGAAGACAUUGUUUUCGCGUUUAUUACAACACCACUAAAAACGUUUAUCCACUUUUAUUAGGGCGAACGACCUGUGUCCCCCUCGGAAGUUUCAUAUAGCAUUAGAACUACACAAAAUUUCAACCUCGAUCUUGGUCUACACAAAUAAAAAGUUCUAGUCCUAUUUCUCCCUAAUUUGAAAGUUCGAAACCUCAAAACACAUAAACGUUUGAUUAAUUGGUUUAUAACAUAAACUGAUAUUAAACCACUUAAACCAAUCCUAAACCAAAUUAAAAAUAUGACCCAUCUCCUUCUACCCCAUUUGACCCGUCUCCUUCUCCGCCAUCACCUCCCGAUUACAAAACCAACAUAUACAUCUCCAUUCUUGGAAUUGAAAUUCUCCGUUUCGUUGUCUAUAGAAGAAAUUGAAGAAUUUUCCUCCAUUGUUUUUGGAAAAACAUCAUUUGUGAACACAUUAUUUGAAAGAGCAUUGCGGAUAUAUGAAUUUGGAGUUAAGUCAAUCUCAAAUUUUAGUCUUUGACUGAAACUCUAUUUUGCUCUUCUUUUUCAAUAAAUUUUUCUGGAAAUAAAGCAAGUCCUGAGGGGAAACCAUGACAUCGUUCGUAGAGGAGACAAACCCAACGAUUUGGAAUCUCAUUGUUGUCUCAUUUUGGUGAAUCGUUAUCAUUUUGUAGCUUAUGACACGGUUUUUGUGCCAUUAACAUUUUAAUAGUUGCAGAGAUCAAAAAGCAAUGUAAAACAGAGACAAAAAUUGUAGAGCUUGAGUAAAUCGAGUUAUACAACAAAACAACAAAGC
rnacentral:sRNA from 1 species